rnacentral:rRNA from 1 species
GGACAAUCUAACCUACGGAGGGGGAUAACCCCGGGAAACUGGGGAUAAUACCCCAUAGACUAUAGAUGCUGGAAUGCUCUGUAGUCGAAAGGUCCGCCGCCGUAGGAUGGGUCUGCGGCCGGUUAGGUUGUUGUUGGGGUAACGGCCCAACAAGCCUGUAAUCGGUACGGGUUGUGGGAGCAAGAGCCCGGAGAUGGAUUCUGAGACACGAAUCCAGGCCCUACGGGGCGCAGCAGGCGCGAAAACUUUACAAUGCGGGAAACCGUGAUAGGGGAACUCCGAGUGCCCGUAAAAUCGGGCUGUCCACCGGUUUAAAUAACCGGUGAAGAAAGGGCCGGGCAAGACCGGUGCCAGCCGCCGCGGUAAUACCGGCGGCUCGAGUGGUGGCCACUAUUACUGGGCUUAAAGCGUUCGUAGCUGGUUUGUUAAGUCUCUGGGGAAAUCUUCCGGCUUAACCGGAAGGCGUAUCAGGGAUACUGGCAGGCUAGGGACCGGGAGGGGUGAGGGGUACUCCAGGGGUAGGAGUGAAAUCCUGU